rnacentral:rRNA from 1 species
GAUGAACGCUAGCGGGAGGCUUAAUACAUGCAAGUCAAGCGGUAUAUUUGACUUCGGUUGGAUAGAGAGCGGUGCACGGGUGAGUAACGCGUACGCAACUUACCCCUGAUAGGGGAAUAGCCCCGGGAAACUGGGAUUAAUGCCCCAUAGUUUCAUACUAAGGCAUCUUGGUGUGAAUAAAGUUGAGGCGAUCAGGGAUAGGCGUGCGUCUGAUUAGCUAGUUGGCAGGGUAACGGCCUACCAAGGCGACGAUCAGUAGGGGGCGUGAGAGCGUGACCCCCCACACGGGUACUGAGACACGGACCCGACUCCUACGGGAGGCAGCAGUAAGGAAUAUUGGACAAUGGGCGGAAGCCUGAUCCAGCCAUCCCGCGUGCAGGAUGAAGGCCCUCUGGGUUGUAAACUGCUUUUAUUGGGGAAGAAUUCUUAUUAUUCAUAAUGAGUUGACGGUACCCAAGGAAUAAGCACCGGCUAACUCCGUGCCAGCCGCCGCAGUAAUAC